rfam:Lactobacillus buchneri CD034, complete genome.
GUUUAUCUUCAGGGCAGGGUGUGAUUCCCGACCGGCGGUGAUAGUCCGCGACUCACGAGUGAUCGUGCUGAGCUGGUGAAAUUCCAGUGCCGACAGUAAAGUCUGGUAUGUAGAAGAUUAAA